GUUAAGAUGGCAGAGCCCGGUAAUUGCAUAAAACUUAAAACUUUACAAUCAGAGGUUCAAUUCCUCUUCUUGACAACACACCC
rnacentral:tRNA from 4 species